CCCCAAGGGUUAAUGGCCUUAGUACGGCGAGUGAAGCGGCAAAAGCUCAAAUUUGAAAUCUGGCACCUUCGGUGUCCGAGUUGUAAUUUGAAGAAGGUAACUUUGGAGUUGGCUCUUGUCUAUGUUCCUUGGAACAGGACGUCACAGAGGGUGAGAAUCCCGUGCGAUGAGAUGCCCAAUUCUAUGUAAAGUGCUUUCGAAGAGUCGAGUUGUUUGGGAAUGCAGCUCUAAGUGGGUGGUAAAUUCCAUCUAAAGCUAAAUAUUGGCGAGAGACCGAUAGCGAACAAGUACAGUGAUGGAAAGAUGAAAAGAACUUUGAAAAGAGAGUGAAAAAGUACGUGAAAUUGUUGAAAGGGAAGGGCUUGAGAUCAGACUUGGUAUUUUGCGAUCCUUUCCUUCUUGGUUGGGUUCCUCGCAGCUUACUGGGCCAGCAUCGGUUUGGAUGGUAGGAUAAUGACUAAGGAAUGUGGCUCUACUUCGGUGGAGUGUUAUAGCCUUGGUUGAUACUGCCUGUCUAGACCGAGGACUGCGUCUUUUGACUAGGAUGUUGGCAUAAUGAUCUUAAGCCACCCGUCUGAACCCCGGGGACCCAAAAACAAAUAUAUAAAUUUUAAGGUAAAGUUAU
rnacentral:rRNA from 1 species